GCCUGCAGUUAUUUUUUUUACCUAGUAUCCAUUGAAGACCUCACCUACUUCCUCUGGCUCCAUGCAUAGAUUGUCCCUUUGAUUUCUAACAGGCCCCACUGCUUAGUUGGUAAGCCUCUUACUCUAACUGUACUUACUAAAUACCUUGUGGCUUUUCCUUAUCAUUAUCUGCUAAGGAUAUUUUGUGACUUUUAUUUGCCUAUUCAUUUUUAAGGCCUGCCUCCCCGCCAUCCCACACCACCCCCGCACUCUCUAAACUUUUGAAGCUAUCUGUCUGCUUUUAUUGCACUGUAUUUUCUUUAUCAAACUCACAAUAUCGCUUGAGGUGUAUUCGCUAGAUGUGCUGCCUUUGCCAUUCACUUCUCACAAAACAGAUUGGCUCUGAAUUCUCACUGCAUCACAUUAAACAUCCCCUGUGUUCUAAAGAGAGACUCUGUCGAGUGUAGUUCCUUGCGGUCUAGGCUUGCCAGUCUAAUGAUAAUGAUAACAUCGAGUGACAGUGAGAAUCUAAUGAAAAUAUCCUUCCCAAGUUCAGGUACUUAGCUUCUGCAUUAUCCUUAUCUAUUUCCAUAAUGUCUUUGAAGCUAACAGUUAUGGUCUCUGUGCUCAAAAAAGCUCCAUUACUCCUUAUCUCUGUUGUCUUGUCCAGAACCUACAGCCCACCCAGUCUCGAACAUUCUUCAGUCCUUGCCAACCUCCCCAGCUGUGCACCUCCCUCCAGCCUCUAGAGCACAUGAUGUCACUGUAACCUUCUCCAGUUCCCACAACGCUCAUGCAUUCCCCUAUUUACAAUGGUGGGUUCUGAACAUUGGCUGAGUUUCUGGAUAUAUAGCACAACGAUAAUACUACCAGGCCAUCAUUUCACCUUGUCACAGGUUUCCCAUCCCUGAGCACUGACGUCAGCGGCACCAUGAAUCAAAACUCCUUCUUCCUACACAAUGGUUUGGUCCUCAAAUCUUCCUGUACUCUGGUGAUAUCACUCAGUAUCUCUCCUUGUGCUAUCCCUCACUGUGUGGGUCUAAUUGCUGUCUCUGUCAGCACCUCUCGUUCUGAGCCCACAGAAUCCUCCACUCCAGAGAGACACAACAGCACGGGCCAGGGAUGGAGACUGGGAUUUUCCAGGUAUUUAGGAUGUUCCUGACUUAAUAGACUUCCCAGCUGCUGGGUGUCUCGUCCACCACCCCAUUGAAGAUGGUUGCUCAGCCAGAGACACCAAGGGUAGGGAGAUCUGGAGUCUUCAAUAAAUCCUGCAGUGAGGUACUUAGGAAGUUACCGACACAUUAGACUUCCCAACUGCUGGGUGUCUCGUCCAUCACCUCAUUGAAGAUGGUUGGUCAGCCAGAGAGACAAAGGG